rnacentral:misc_RNA from 1 species
UUUUUUGGCCUUUUUGUUCCCCGACCUCACCCAAGCGCCUCACUAUGCCUUAGUGAGGUCACCUGCCUUUUGAUGCUUGAGGUGAUCCCCUUUGACCCUGAUGUACCUUGCGCCUUAGGUGCGCCUUUGGCAACUAUGCACGAUAGUCAUACUUCUGUAACCAAAAUAGUAAUCCAUCAUAGUCAUAAAUUUUGAUCAUUGUUAGGUAUAAUUAUCAUUGUUGAUCAUUAUCAGGUAUAAUUUUCCACGUUGAUCAUUGUUAGCACAUCCACUUAGAUCAUUGUUAGCACAUUCACAAAUAGUUGGUUCAAUCUUUCAUUAUUGCUUAGCAACCAUUUAGCAUAUGUAAAUGCUUAAAAUUGUUGUGGUAAUGAUUAGUAUAUGAUUCUUAUUUUUUUAACAUGUUUUGCUAAUAUUUCAGGUAUUAUUUUUAUUCUAAACCAUCUCUUUCUUCUUGGUCCCCAAU